AGCAGCCGCGGUAAUUCCAGCUCCAAUAGCGUAUAUUAAAGUUGUUGCAGUUAAAAAGCUCGUAGUUGAAUUUCGAGAUCAAUAUGUUGGUCGUGCCUCGGUACGUACUUGCAUAAUUGAUUUCUCCCUUCUGAUGAACCAUGAUGCCAUUAAUUUGGUGUUGUGGGGAAUCAGGACUGUUACUUUAGAAAAAAUUAGAGUGUUUAAAGCAGGCUAACGCUUGAAUACAUUAGCAUGGAAUAACGGAAUAGGACGUUCGAUCUUAUUUUGUUGGUUUCUAAGAUUGACGUAAUGAUUAAUAGGGAUAGUUGGGGGCAUUAGUAUUCAAUUGUCAGAGGUGAAAUUCUUGGAUUUAUUGAAGACUAACUACUGCGAAAGCAUUUGCCAAGGAUGUUUUCAUUAAUCAAGAACGAAAGUUAGGGGAUCGGAGACGAUCAGACACCGUCGUAGUCUUAACCAUAAACUAUGCCGACUAGGGAUCGGAUGAUGUUAAUUUUUAAUGACUCAUUCGGCGCCUUAA
rnacentral:rRNA from 1 species